rnacentral:rRNA from 1 species
AUUGAACGCUGGCGGCAGGCCUAACACAUGCAAGUCGAGCGGUAGCACAGAGAGCUUGCUCUCGGGUGACGAGCGGCGGACGGGUGAGUAAUGUCUGGGAAACUGCCCGAUGGAGGGGGAUAACUACUGGAAACGGUAGCUAAUACCGCAUAACGUCGCAAGACCAAAGAGGGGGACCUUCGGGCCUCUUGCCAUCGGAUGUGCCCAGAUGGGAUUAGCUAGUAGGUGGGGUAACGGCUCACCUAGGCGACGAUCCCUAGCUGGUCUGAGAGGAGGACCGCCAACAUGAGAACUGAGAACCGGUACAGACUCCAAGGGAAGGCAGCAGGGGGGAAUAUUGCAAAAUGGGCGCAAGCCUGAUGCAGCCAGGCCGCGUGUAAGAAGAAGGCCUUCGGGUUGUAAAGUACUUUCAGCGGGGAGGAAGGUGUUGGGGUUAAUAACCUCAGCAAUUGCCGUUACCCGAAGAAGAGGCACCGGCUAACUCCGUGCCAGCCGCCGGGGUAA